GAUGAACGCUGGCGGCGUGCCUAAUACAUGCAAGUCGAGCGAACAGACGAGGAGCUUGCUCCUCUGACGUUAGCGGCGGACGGGUGAGUAACACGUGGAUAACCUGCCUAUAAGACUGGGAUAACUUCGGGAAACCGGAGCUAAUACCGGAUAAUAUAUUGAACCGCAUGGUUCAAUAGUGAAAGACGGUUUUGCUGUCACUUAUAGAUGGAUCCGCGCCGCAUUAGCUAGUUGGUAAGGUAACGGCUUACCAAGGCGACGAUGCGUAGCCGACCUGAGAGGGUGAUCGGCCACACUGGAACUGAGACACGGUCCAGACGCCUACGGGAGGCAGCAGUAGGGAAUCUUCCGCAAUGGGCGAAAGCCUGACGGAGCAACGCCGCGUGAGUGAUGAAGGUCUUCGGAUCGUAAAACUCUGUUAUUAGGGAAGAACAAAUGUGUAAGUAACUAUGCACGUCUUGACGGUACCUAAUCAGAAAGCCACGGCUAACUACGUG
rnacentral:rRNA from 1 species